UUUCUUUAGAAGUAUUUAAUCACUUUAAGACCAUUCAUUAUUAGAUUCGUUAUUACACAUUAUUAACAUUCAUUAUUGAGGACUCAGGAGUCUUUGAGGACAUACUCACAGAUUAUCAGAGGAAACAGCCUUCAACUGUGGAGUAACCUGACUUGGGGAAUGGCUCAGAGAAGACGUAAGGUUUUCCCUUCCAUAAUCAGGGUCAAAGAGGCAAAUAGCAGAGGUCAGGAGGGCUGGGGUCCUGGACGGAUGCCCCCCACUGUAUGAUUCUCUGUGUCUGGCUCCUCAAACUGCAUUAAGGGUGAGCAGAGACUGGAGCCUUUCGGAGCCCACCAUCACAGCAAGCAGGAUGAGGCUGUGGCUGAUACUCCAGGAUUUUCUGACAGCCUUUCUUGGGUCUGAACUUUUAGCUGAAGUACCUGCACAAUACCCUCAAGUUUUGCCUCUUGACCCACAAGUCAAAAGUAUUUCGUCUCUUUACAGAAAAAGUGCACCAGUGAAGGUGAUGCUAUUCCCUUGCUGAUACCUCAGGGGUGGGGCUGAGAACAGCGGCAGCCAUGGGGAGGCCAUCCCCGAGGACCCCACUGACAUCCUGAGGAUGGAAGAAUCUGGGUCCUUAUGCUGUGGUGAAGCCCUGAGUUAGCCAACCCCUUCUUAUCGCGAGACCUCUUGCAACGCGAAACAAUAAAUAUUCUUAUUGUUUCAGCAAUUCAAGCCAGAGUUUUCUGCUACUUGUUGUCCAGAGCAUUCUAACUGCUAUCACCUGAGAGCAGCUCAUCAUAUAAGGGUCAGGACAAAUGUCCCUUCCUCAGAAAGGGCUU